rnacentral:tRNA from 2 species
GCAGUAGUAGCUUAAUACAAGAGCACCGGUCUUGUAAACCGGCAGGUGAAGGUUUAACCCCUUCCUACUGCU